rnacentral:lncRNA from 1 species
GUGCCAGGAUCUUGGUCGCACAGCCGCCUUCGUCUUGCUCAUCAUCUCUUGCACUUACACGGUUACACCUACUCUCUUGCCUUGCCUCGGGUGUGCUUUUGUGGAUUAGUUAGUAACUUGAGACGCUGAUGGCCUUUGAAAAAUAUGAAAACAGAGUGAUAAAAUAAUAUACUGGACACUAAUUUUACAAAAAUUCACUGGAACCCAGGCAUAAGAUAAUUCGCGGCAGCAGCAGGUGGGAAAGAGAGCGGUCGCCGUUGCACCGUCGUUUUCAGGUGCCGCCAGCUUUCAACGUUAGCUCACCGUCACUGGUGGCGUUUCCUGUAUGCGUAGGGAAGGGGUAUCGAGGUGAGUGGCAUUGUUGAGAUGAAGACGAUGGCAGCUGACGGGCGCUCUGCAGCCAUGUAUGAUAUGUAUUGGCAUGUUCUAGGCCAGAAAGGGGCA